GGGCCAAUAGCUCAGUGGUAGAGCGUCCAAAUGGAGAAAGCCAAGCCUCCUCUCUUUACGGAAGAAACAACCAUACUUCUCAACAUCUCCAAACUAGCACCGUGUUAGUUUGGACAAGUUGAGAGGUGUGGUUGUUUCAUCUGUCGAAAGCGAUGGUCUGUAUCCCGGGAAGGUCUUGCGUUCGAGUCGCAAUUAGCCCA